GAGUAGUACACAUCUCCAAUCAGGGUAGGAAUAGGGUUUCUCUGCAUAAACAACCUGAUAGCAUUAUGGUCCACGAAAUUCUUCUGGUUAGGAAACAGAACAAUCCCAUAAAUGCUCACAGCAAUCAGAGCACAAACCGUCUUCCAGUUACCCAUAGCAGCAUGCUCCUUGGCAUUAGCCUCCAAGAAACUUAAAUGAAAUCCAGGUAACUUUCCC
rnacentral:lncRNA from 1 species